rnacentral:rRNA from 1 species
GUGGGGAAUAUUGGACAAUGGGCGAAAGCCUGAUCCAGCCAUGCCGCGUGUGUGAAGAAGGUCUUCGGAUUGUAAAGCACUUUAAGUUGGGAGGAAGGGCAGUAAGUUAAUACCUUGCUGUUUUGACGUUACCGACAGAAUAAGCACCGGCUAACUUCGUGCCAGCAGCCGCGGUAAUACGAAGGGUGCAAGCGUUAAUCGGAAUUACUGGGCGUAAAGCGCGCGUAGGUGGUUUUGUAAGUUGGAGGUGAAAUCCCCGGGCUCAACCUGGGAACUGCCUCCAAAACUGCAUGACUAGAGUACGGUAGAGGGUAGUGGAAUUUCCUGUGUAGCGGUGAAAUGCGUAGAUAUAGGAAGGAACACCAGUGGCGAAGGCGACUACCUGGACUGAUGCUGACACUGAGGUGCGAAAGCGUGGGGAGCAAACAGGAUUAGAAACCCCUGUAGUCC